rnacentral:rRNA from 1 species
UACGAACCGGACGAACGUUAUUCGGAAUCAUUGGGCUUAAAGGGUGCGUAGGCGGCCGCGUAAGUCGGGUGUGAAAUCCCUCGGCUCAACCGAGGAAUUGCGCCCGAUACUGCGUGGCUAGAGGGAGACAGAGGCGAGCGGAACUGAUGGUGGAGCGGUGAAAUGCGUUGAUAUCAUCAGGAACACCGGUGGCGAAGGCGGCUCGCUGGGUCUCUUCUGACGCUCAGGAACGAAAGCUAGGGUAGCAAACAGG